rnacentral:rRNA from 1 species
UUCUGUGGCCAAACCUGUCAAAGCCUUUUCAAAGCUUGAGCUCGUCUGAAGCUGAGCAGGGUCGGGCCUGGUUAGUCUCUGGAUCGGAGACUGCUGGGAAUACCAUGUGCCACAGUGG